rnacentral:misc_RNA from 1 species
AAUAGCAAUACACCUGGGGAAUGUCCUCAGCCCGUCGUCAUAACAACGGGUGAAGCGGCGAGAAAAUGUAAUAAGUACCCUUAACGAAUAUUAUUUAUUUGAGCGAUCGCUCCGCGUGGCCGUGUCUCACGGUUCUCAGCGCCUCGCUCGACGUCAGUGGUCCGCGCGCGCUGCGGCGACACACACGCGACACACGACACGCGACACACGACACGUGUCGCCCGACACACGACGGACGAUGUUUCCGGCAAGUCCGUGACAGUAAUACUAGAUCGUGAACUAUGUGUAUUGUUAAUUGUCGAUAUUGAUUUGUAAACUAGCGCUAAUUAAUGAAGAUGGGCCGAAGAAGACGCAGAGAUUACCAGUGGGGCUCGUGCGCGGGCUCGUGCGCGCACGGCGGCCGGUGCGUGAGCGGCGGCGCGGCGGG